CUAGCUUGCUAGGUGGAUUAGUGGCGCACGGGUGAGUAAUAUAUAGAUAACGUGCCUCUUAGUCUGGGAUAGCCAUUGGAAACGAUGAUUAAUACUAGAUACUCCUUCUAACUCUAAUGUUAGUUGGGAAAGUUUUUCGCUAAGAGAUCGGUCUAUAUCCCAUCAGCUAGUUGGUAGUGUAAGAGACUACCAAGGCAAUGACGGGUAGCGGGUUUGAGAGGAUGAUCCGCCACACUGGUACUGAGACACGGACCAGACUCCUACGGGAGGCAGCAGUGAGGAAUAUUGCACAAUGGAGGAAACUCUGAUGCAGCAACGCCGCGUGAAGGAUGACGCAUUUCGGUGUGUAAACUCCUUUUAUAUGUCAAGAAAAUGACGGUAGCAUAUGAAUAAGCACCGGCUAACUCCGUGCCAGCAGCCGCGGUAAUACGGAGGGUGCAAGCGUUAUUCGGAAUCACUGGGCGUAAAGGACGCGUAGGCGGGAUGC
rnacentral:rRNA from 1 species